GACGAACGCUGGCGGCGUGCUUAACACAUGCAAGUCGAGCGGAGCGGCGGACGGGUGAGUAAUGCCUAGGAAUCUGCCUGGUAGUGGGGGAUAACGUCCGGAAACGGGCGCUAAUAUCGCAUACUAUCAGAUGAGCCUAGGUCGGAUUAGCUAGUUGUUGGGGUAAAGGCAUACCAAGUCGUCGAUCCGUAACUGUGCUGAGAGGAUGAUCAGUCACACUGGAAAUGAGACACGGUCCAGCCUCCUACGGGAGGCAGCAGUGGGGAAUAUUGGACAAUGGGCGAAAGCCUGAUCCAGCCAUGCCGCGUGUGUGAAGAAGGUCUUCGGAUUGUAAAGCACUUUAAGUUGGGAGGCGUUACCAACAGAAUAAGCACCGGCUAACUUCGUGCCAGCAGCCGCGGUAAUUC
rnacentral:rRNA from 1 species